rnacentral:rRNA from 1 species
AGUGAACGCUGGCGGCGUGCUUAACACAUGCAAGUCGAACGAGAACGGAAUAUAGCUUGCUAUAUUUGUCAGCUAAGUGGCGCACGGGUGAGUAAUGUAUAGAUAACCUGCCCUUAAGAAAGGAAUAACAGUUGGAAACGACUGCUAAUGCCCUAUAUGCCUUUAAUACAUAAGUAUGCAAGGGAAACGCUUUAGUGCUUAAGGAUGGGUCUGUAUGGUAUCAGCUUGUUGGUGAGGUAAUGGCUCACCAAGGCUAUGACGCCUAACUGGUUUGAGCAGAUGAUCAGUCACACUGGAACUGAGACACAGUCCAGACUCCUACGGGAGGCAGCAGUUGGGAAUAUUGCACAAUGGACGAAAGUCUGAUGCAGCAACGCCGCGUGGAGGAUGACACAUUUCGGUGCGUAAACUCCUUUUAUAUAGGAAGAUAAUGACGGUACUAUAUGAAUAAGCACCGGCUAACUCCGUGCCAGCAGCCGCCGUAA